GACGAACGCUGGCGGCGUGCUUAACACAUGCAAGUCGAACGGAAAGGCCCUGCUUUCGUGGGGUGCUCGAGUGGCGAACGGGUGAGUAACACGUGAGUAACCUGCCCUUGACUUUGGGAUAACUUCAGGAAACUGGGGCUAAUACCGGAUAGGAGCUCCUGCUGCAUGGUGGGGGUUGGAAAUUUUCGGCGGUUGGGGAUGGACUCGCGGCUUAUCAGCUUGUUGGUGGGGUAGUGGCUUACCAAGGCUUUGACGGGUAGCCGGCCUGAGAGGGUGACCGGCCACAUUGGGACUGAGAUACGGCCCAGACUCCUACGGGAGGCAGCAGUGGGGAAUAUUGCACAAUGGGAGGAAGCCUGAUGCAGCAACGCCGCGUGCGGGAUGACGGCCUUCGGGUUGUAAACCGCUUUCGCCUGUGACGAAGCGUGAGUGACGGUAAUGGGUAAAGAAGCACCGGCUAACUACGUG
rnacentral:rRNA from 1 species